UACGGAGGGUGCAAGCGUUAUCCGGAUUCACUGGGUUUAAAGGGUGCGUAGGUGGGCAGGUAAGUCAGUGGUGAAAUCUUUGGGCUUAACCCGAAAACUGCCGUUGAUACUAUCUGUCUUGAAUAUAGUGGAGGUGAGCGGAAUAUGUCAUGUAGCGGUGAAAUGCUUAGAUAUGACAUAGAACAUCGAUUGCGAAGGCAGCUCGCUACACUAUGAUUGACACUGAGGCACGAAAGCAUGGGGAGCAAACAGG
rnacentral:rRNA from 1 species